rnacentral:lncRNA from 1 species
UUAGGAUUCCACCAAAAGAUUUUGAGAAAUCACAAUCAAUUUUCAAGAAUUUCUUCAAGUUCUUCCCUCGAAUUUCACUAGAAUAGGACAUCGAAUCACCUUCUUCACCUCACGGGACUUAAGUGAGGACCUAAGCCCUUAUUCCCCUCUGUCCCUAGAUCCCAUGGCCAUCGACUCAUCUUGUUUGGAGCCGGCAACUU